UACGUAGGGGGCAAGCGUUGUCCGGAUUUAUUGGGCGUAAAGAGCGUGUAGGCGGCCAUACAGGUCCGUUGUGAAAACUGGAGGCUUAACCUCCAGACGUCGAUGGAAACCGUAUGGCUAGAGUCCGGAAGAGGAGAGUGGAAUUCCUGGUGUAGCGGUGAAAUGCGCAGAUAUCAGGAAGAACACCUAUGGCGAAGGCAGCUCUCUGGGACGGUACUGACGCUGAGACGCGAAAGCGUGGGGAGCGAACAGG
rnacentral:rRNA from 1 species